rnacentral:rRNA from 1 species
UACGGAGGGUGCGAGCGUUGUCCGGAAUCACUGGGCGUAAAGGGCGCGUAGGUGGCGCGGGAAGUCAACGGUGAAAGCUCGGGGCUCAACCCUGAAUCGGCCGUCGAUACUCCCGGGCUCGAGCACUGUAGAGGCAGAUGGAAUUCCGGGUGUAGCGGUGGAAUGCGUAGAGAUCCGGAAGAACACCGGUGGCGAAGGCGGUCUGCUGGGCAGUUGCUGACACUGAUGCGCGACAGCGUGGGGAGCAAACAGG